rnacentral:rRNA from 1 species
AUUGAACGCUGGCGGCAUGCCUUACACAUGCGAGUCGAACGGUAACGGGCCUUCGGGUGCCGACGAGUGGCGAACGGGUGAGUAAUACAUCGGAACGUGCCCGAUCGUGGGGGAUAACGAGGCGAAAGCUUUGCUAAUACCGCAUACGAUCUACGGAUGAAAGCAGGGGACCGCAAGGCCUUGCGCGGACGGAGCGGCCGAUGGCAGAUUAGGUAGUUGGUGGGAUAAAAGCUUACCAAGCCGACGAUCUGUAGCUGGUCUGAGAGGAUGAUCAGCCACACUGGGACUGAGACACGGCCCAGACUCCUACGGGAGGCAGCAGUGGGGAAUUUUGGACAGUGGGCGCAAGCCUGAUCCAGCCAUGCCGCGUGCAGGAUGAAGGCCUUCGGGUUGUAAACUGCUUUUGUACGGAACGAAAAGCCUUCUUUUAAUACAGGAGGGUCAUGACGGUACCGUAAGAAUAAGCACCGGCUAACUACGUG